CUGACACUUCCUUAGACGUCUAAGACUUCUGUCCCCAGACCAUAACAGACUGAGGGAUGCUAUUCAGCACAGACGUGUGUCUCUACUGCUGUGUGCUGGAGCAGGUGGAAUCAGUCCCUGGGACCGUUGCACACAGCUUUCCCCAAUGGUGUCAUACAGGGAGCUGGAAAUCAACCAUUUGGUAGCAUUCAAACCACAUGUGCCAUAUACACCAUGAGAGCAGCACGCACCAGAGUUACCUUCCCUCCUGAGAACAGCACACCAGCACAGCCCUCAUCCUUCCCUUUGAGUGAGUGGCAGGGCCCCGUUGAGAUGGUGGCCACCCUAUGACCAGAGUGGACUGAGGAUCAAAUGAAGUUGAUGCCUUGGGAAG
rnacentral:lncRNA from 1 species